rnacentral:rRNA from 1 species
AUGAGCAGUCUAAGGUAUAUCUAUACGAAUACCGCAGGCGUAGCGAAGGCAUGCGUUCGUUGUGCGUUUCGACACACGCGGACGCGUACGCAGUGACAUGUGUACGUUCGUAGCGACGAUGAGGAAGCCGCAAAUAACGCUUGAAACGGUCCUCCGCAGUCGCGAGGCGGUCUCGUUCUAGCCGGUUGCUUUUGUCUGCUGUGCUGCGUCGUUGGUAACAGCGGCGUGGUACGUAGCGGUGCCGGACAUAGAAGAGCCGUCCUCUUAGCUCACGUGCUAGUACCCGAAAGAUGGUGAACUAUGCUUGACGAGAGCCGAGUUAGGGGAAACCCUGAUGUAAGCUCGUCAUCGAUUCUGACGUGCAAAUCGAUCGUCUGAGUUACGUAUAGGGGCGAAAGACCAAUCGAAUCAUCUAGUAGCUGGUUCCUUCCGAAGUUUCCCUCAGGAUAGCUCGCACCGCUUUAGCUAGUAACAUGUGGUAAAGCUAAUGACUAGAGGUAUCGGGACCGAAACGGUCUCGACCUAUUCUCAAACUUUCAAUGUGUGUGAACGAACAUACGGCUUACGGUAGCGGUGUCGCUCUCUUGCGGGAGCGGCAUCACGAAGCCGUAUCGACACGCGCGCGCACUCUGUGUGUGUGUGUGUGUCGAGCAAUGUAAUAACGCGGUGCGUAGUGGGCCGAUUUUGGUAAGCAGAAACGGCGAUGCGGGAUGAACCGAAAGCAAGGCUAAAGCGUCGAAGUCGACGCUCAUGGGAGACCAUGAAAAGUGUUAGUAACUGAAGACAGCAGGUCGUGACAUGGAAGUAGGAU